rnacentral:rRNA from 1 species
GGAAACAGCUGCUAAUACCGGAUACGAGACGGAGAGGCAUCUCUACCGUCUGGAAAGUUUUUCGGUCUGGGAUGGACUCGCGGCCUAUCAGCUAGUUGGUGAGGUAAUGGCUCACCAAGGCGACGACGGGUAGCCGGCCUGAGAGGGCGACCGGCCACACUGGGACUGAGACACGGCCCAGACUCCUACGGGAGGCAGCAGUGGGGAAUAUUGCACAAUGGGCGAAAGCCUGAUGCAGCGACGCCGCGUGAGGGAUGACGGCCUUCGGGUUGUAAACCUCUUUCAGCAGGGAAGAAGCGAAAGUGACGGUACCUGCAGAAGAAGCACCGGCUAACUACGUGCCAGCAGCCGCGGUAAUACGUAGGGUGCGAGCGUUGUCCGGAAUUAUUGGGCGUAAAGAGCUUGUAGGCGGUUUGUCGCGUCUGCAGUGAAAAUCCGAGGCUCAACCUCGGACUUGCUGUGGGUAC